AACCGCCGUAUACCGAACGGUACGUACGGUGGUGUGGAAGGGGAGUGUCAAAUCUCCCCUAUCCGA
rnacentral:misc_RNA from 1 species